AAAGAAGUGACUAACUUCUACUGAAGCCUUCUAAGCAUCGGUAAAGAGGUGAGAUUCCUUUUACUUCUUA
rnacentral:tRNA from 1 species